GUAAGACUGGGAUAACACCGGGAAACCGGUGCUAAUACCGGAUAAUCCUUUUCCUCUCAUGAGGAAAAGCUGAAAGUCGGUUUCGGCUGACGCUUACAGAUGGGCCCGCCGCGCAUUAGCUAGUUGGUGAGGUAACGGCUCACCAAGGCGACGAUGCGUAGCCGACCUGAGAGGGUGAUCGGCCACACUGGGACUGAGACACGGCCCAGACUCCUACGGGAGGCAGCAGUAGGGAAUCUUCCACAAUGGACGAAAGUCUGAUGGAGCAACGCCGCGUGAGCGAUGAAGGCCUUCGGGUCGUAAAGCUCUGUUGUUAGGGAAGAACAAGUACCGGAGUAACUGCCGGUGCC
rnacentral:rRNA from 1 species